UAAUUAGUUUAAUAAAUAUAUAUUACUAGGGAUUAAAUCGAAACGAAUUUUAAAUUAGAGGAAAAUGUGAAAAUAAAAAGUUUUAAUUGAAAUGAGAUUUAAUUGAAAAGGGGAGAGAAUAGGAAAGGGCAGGGGAAAGAAACCAAAAUUUGAAAAUUGGUUGGCUAUAUAAGAACACCCAAUGUCCCUUCCUUCCAUAUUUCUAUUCAUUUGAAAAGUUUGUUAGAUCCAAAUUAGGAGUCUUCUCUCAAAAUUCUCUCAACCAUUUUGAUUUUCCAAGCAUCCAAAAACAUUUUUCUUCUCUAAUUUCAAAAGAAACUCUUCUCCAUAAAUUCUCUAUUAUUUAAAACACAUUUUGCUCAAAUUGAUCCAAAUCUCGUGGAGUUCUUCAAAUCAAAGCCUUAGAUCGCAAGGGAGCCUCAUCAAGCAAAGACAAAGGCAAGUAGAAGGCGACUUAGGUUCGACAGCAAGCAGCGAACUAACAGGUGAUUGGUUAUAUAUACUGCAAAUAAGCACUAGUUCGCGUGCUAAGGAGAGCUUAAGUAUUUUAAAAACCCUAUUAUACCAUAUGCGAACCAUGUUAUAUUAUAUGCGAAACUUGUUAUACUAUAUGAGAUCCUUAUUAUACUAUAUGCGAACCAUGUUAUACUAUGUGCAAACCCAUGCUAUUAUGCGAACACAUGUUGUUAUGCGAACCUAUACCAUGUGUAAACUAUACUGUUAUGCGAACCUAUGUUAUAUGCGAACUAUAAAUUACGAACUGUGAUAUUGCAAACUAUGAAUUACGAACUGUGCAAUAUUAUGCGAGCUCUGCUAUAUUGCGAGCCCUAUUAUAUUGUGAGCCCUAUUAUACUAUGAAUGUGUUAAAAAUGAUAUGUUGGCAUUGUGAACACUUGAAACUGUUGGAUAUCAAUGGCAUGCCAUAGGACUGUGAGUACUCACAUUUUAUUAUGUAUUAGGGCAUUGUGGCCUGAAGAUAGUGUUGGAGAGAUAAGGGAAUGUAUAGCAUAGCUCCAUUCACUAUAGAUAGUGUGGAGUGUUUAGAGAGCGUGAGCAUCCGUGCUACACUUAUUGGAGAUAGCGCAAGACUCUUUGAGUCAUUUGGAGCGUUUGGAGAUCCUUUUAUCCAAAGCAUAUAAAUCAUGAAUAUGUUUCACAGUCACGAAUUGCCAAUAUAUCAAUAUUAUGUGUUUUGAGUAUUGUAUUUUAUGCAAA